ensembl:lncRNA
CAGGAACAGAACAGAAUAGAAAAAUCCUUUAAAAGGCAGCAGCUCAAAAACUGAUAAAUUACUUAUAAUGUGUGAUGGUGUUUUGUGCGUGUGCUACGUGUGUGUGGUGUGUUUAUGCUUGUAAGUGUAAAAAGCCUCUCAAACUUUUAAAAGCCCUGACAAUAAAUUGGCAAUGUGAUAUAAUAAUUUCCACAGCACUCUGAUGGAGUGUGUGGGCAAGGACUCCAGUUUGGCUUCAGAGAAAAGCUGCUUGAAGGUCACUGCACAGAGCUGAAGAUAUGGAGGACUAAAACUGCUGGAAUUUUAAAAAGUAUAAAAACUAUAUUUAAUGCAUCUCAGUCUCGAAAAAAACAGCAAGCUAAAUGCAACCUUAAAAAAACAAUUAUUUAAAUGAUAUGUUUUACAUGUUUUUAGUUGUUUAACAUUUGUAUUCAGUGUUUAAAGGGAUGGUUUCUUUGGUUAAAUAUAGAUUUCAGACUUUCUUUCUUCUUUUUUUUUUAGCCUGCCCCGUUUGGAUCUUCAGUCAUCAGAAUUGUUGUCUGAAGGCCAAAAAAGAUGCCAAGCGGAUUUACUCAUGGCCUUGCCAUAUCGGUCCAUUUGAUUGACCUUUAUUAUAAUUAUGUAUUUAUUUUAUUUUAUUUUCAGUUCUUACAGAGGGGACAGACAUGGCUGGGGGUUAGGACAGAGAGAAAGAAAGAGAGGGAGAAAAAAAAUAGAGGGGAGAGAGAAAAAAAAAGAAAAGCAAACAAACAAACAAAAAAAACAACAAAGAAAAAAAACACCCGGAUCACCUGUCGAGAGAAGAAAAAAAAACAGAAGAGAAAACAAACAAAAAAGAGCAACAUAAUAAAUACAACACCAUCACAAUAAACUAGCUAACAGUAGAUAACAGUAGAUACUAAAUAUUAAAUGUUAUUGUGCAGCACGCAAGAUUGACAGCGCACAAUGUGCUUUGAGGUAGGAGCCAAGAAAGGUGUGGUUUGUGUCUGUGAGCACCCGUGUGCACACCUGUGUGGAUCAGCACGCUUGUAUUCAAAAGGUUUCUCCAUGCAACGAUCUGCUAGGGAGUCUGGGGAGCCAUAGCCCCGUCCCCCAGGGCAUGAAGCAGGUAUGGAGGAGAUCCAGGCCCCAGACAUCCAGAGGUCCCAGAAUACGAAGACCAACUGUGCCACCCUCCUGGGAAGAGCUGAGGAGAGCCCCAGAGAGGGGUCACCCAGCAACCACAGAGCAGAGGCCAGAAGGGGUUGCAGUGACGUGCCUGUGGGCUCUGCCGGCAGCCAGCUGUGCCAGAGAGGACCUUUCAGACUUUCUUAGUUUUCUCUAACACCCGAUGGGCUAAUUUCCUGGAAAAGUCCAAAAGAUGUGACGCUUAUGCUCAACCUCAACUGCCACUUUCUCAGGAUCAGAUGUAAGAAACACCUGACUGCUUUUCUCAGUGGAAAUGCUAGUUAGCUAGCUUUCCAAGUGAUUUCUGAACCUAAUGCGAUCCAUGAUACUAACUUUACAUUAUAGAAUGUAGCCAUCAGUAAAUCAUGUAACAGCACAGA